CUCAGUCACAUACCAUGUUCCAACACUAAAGACAGAAGAUGCCAAGAAGGUAAGAGGGCAUCCAAACUGCCAAGAUGUUGAUGUUUCAUAAUGAAAAUUCAUUUUCCAUUUGAAUUGCCCAUAGUUCUAACAUGAAAAAUGAAACUUUUAUAUGAAAGAAAACGUUGGAUAGUCAUCUGUUACGUCAAACCAUAAUAGUUGGACUGUGAAGACUGAGGAGCAUGAAACUCCAAAUAAAUUCUUAUAUUGGAUGCCAUAUGUUGAAAGGAAAAAGGAAAUCCUAUUAUUUUUAUAGAGCAGGUAGGUGCAGAAAAGCUUAACUAGGACAUCGCAAUUAGGUAUUGCCAGGUAAGGUAAUCCAGUGCUAGUGGCCAAUAUAAUCCUUACAAAAGAAUACUUCACCUCCCACUGAACCUAUAAUGAAAAUUCAUUUUCCAGUUGAAUUGCCCUUAGUUCGAACAUGAAGAAUGGAACUUUUAUAUGAAAUAAAACGGUAGAUAGUCAUCUGUUACGUCAAACCAUAUUAGUUGGACUGUGAAGACUGAAGAGCAAUGAAACUCCAAAUAAAUUCUUAUAGUGGAUGCCAUAUGUUGAAAGGAAAAAGGAAAUCUGAUUUUUUUGUAGAGCAGGUAGGUGCAGAAAAGCUUAACUAGGACAUCGCAAUUAGGUAUUUCCAGAUAAGGUAAUCCAGUGCUAGUGGCCAAUAAACUCCUUACAAAAGAAUACUUCACCUCCCACUGAACCAGAAUCGUCGUGGCAAGAAGAUUACUGAAUAAUAGGUUCUGAAUUCUGACGGUGUAACAAAACAGUGGCUUUUGUCGUUGAUGCCAGUAAAUUUGUUAAUAUAUCAUUAUCUAUUGAGCUCUCAGGAUCUGUUUCACUUUUGUCUGGAACAUGACGUGGAGCAAAUGAGUUGGUGAUUUGAGAAGAUUUCUCAUCAUCAGUAGACUGUAUACUUUGUCUUUCCUUGGUAUAUGUAUUGACUCUUGAAUUCUAGUUUAUUGGUUCAAUUACUGGAGAUGUCCUACCAAAUUCCUUGGUGACGAGUUAGAACUCUUGAACUCUAGUUCAUUGGUGCAGUUACUGGAGAUGUCUGACCUAAUGUCAUCCCUAUUCUGUACCGCCCAAGUAUUGAUGUUUUGAUGUUAUUCGCAGGUG
rnacentral:lncRNA from 1 species